GACGAACGCUGGCGGCGCGCCUAACACAUGCAAGUCGAACGAGCGAGAGAGAGCUUGCUUUCUCGAGCGAGUGGCGAACGGGUGAGUAACGCGUGAGGAACCUGCCUCAAAGAGGGGGACAACAGUUGGAAACGACUGCUAAUACCGCAUAAGCCCACGGCUCGGCAUCGAGCAGGGGGAAAAGGAGCAAUCCGCUUUGAGAUGGCCUCGCGUCCGAUUAGCUAGUUGGUGGGGUAACGGCCCACCAAGGCGACGAGCGGUAGCCGGACUGAGAGGUUGAACGGCCACAUUGGGACUGAGACACGGCCCAGACUCCUACGGGAGGCAGCAGUGGGGAAUAUUGCACAAUGGGGGAAACCCUGAUGCAGCGACGCCGCGUGGAGGAAGAAGGUCUUCGGAUUGUAAACUCCUGUUGUUGGGGAAGAUAAUGACGGUACCCAACAAGGAAGUGACGGCUAACUACGUG
rnacentral:rRNA from 1 species